rnacentral:lncRNA from 1 species
GAACACAAAGACGGGGGAGAGGCCUUCUCUAGGCCCCGCGGCCUGGCCGGCUGCGGCCGGGGGCUUGAUGGUGCGGGGGGCGUGUGUCCCUCAGGGCCGCUUGUUCUGGAUGAGAAGUGAGGAUGAGUACCUGGCUACGUUUUGUUCUCAGGAACCUCCUUCCUCCCUCUGGAGCUGACCUCUGGAUGCUCCCUGGUUUCACAGAUGAGCUCGGUCUGAGGGGUUUAUUCACAGAGAAUCAGGAGACAGUCUUCAAAAUGACCAGUGAACUGAAGAAGCUGGGCUGGGAGCAUCUGUAUCUUCCCAUUUGAAAACCUCGCCUGUUGCUUGCUCCUACCGAAACCUGGAAAUGCCGGCCUGUUUGAAGUGAAGACUCCCAAGAAGGAGAAUAUCUUGUUUUGUCAGUCCCACUGGCACAGCUCUGGUUUGUUUGAUCUCGACGCCUUGUGUCGGAGGAACAGGUUGAUGGUCCCUUCUGGGACAGAUCAGUAACGCCUUUCUCUGAAGUAUCUCCGUGUUGUCCAGUUGAUGAUGUUAAGAGAGCACACGGUGGCAGCUGGUGCUGGAGGAACUUGGGAGAGGAUGGUGGUUACUGAGGAGGUUAGGGAUUUGCAAAGAGCCCCAAAAUCUGGGUCUGGUUCCCACUGAUGUUGUGUCACUCCGGGCUAUCUCGUAAUAGGAAAUGAUGCUGUAGCCAAAGACAGCCCUAGAAACUAAUGUAGUCACUUCCUCACCUCCAGGGUUUUCUGAUUAAACUCAGAAAUGGUUUCUAAAGCUGGUUCUGCAUUUUCCAUGUACAGUAUUACUAACCCCAAACUUAAC